ACUAGGAGGCCAAGCUCUAGGAAGGCUAUUUUGUGAAGUUGUUGUGAAGGUUGUGAUCAAAAGGGAUACAAUGCUACCUCGCCCUUAUGGUGACAUUGAGACUUUGGCUGAUGCUAAGUCAAUGCCAGUUCAGUGGCCAUACAACAGGUUGAAGGUUAGCAUGACAUCACAUUCAUCCCAGUCUACAGGAGGGGAUGUCCAGAAAACGCACUGAAGCAGAUGGAGAUGUGACCUGAUCAUUUUGUGGUGACCUGAUCAUUUUGUGAGGUGGCAAAACAUCGAUGAUCCAUGUUGGUGUGUAUGGGAUGCCAUACCAUUUUGUAAAGUACUGCUUGCUCAUGGAUGUUGGUUCCUUUGUUGAAUGAUGUUAGAUUAUGAAAAGAACUCCAAGGACAUGCCUGUUAGUUGUGUUCUCACAUGAGCAUGUUAGUUGUAGUAUGCAAUGCAGACUUGUUAGUUGUGCUGUAACAUGGGCAUGUUAGUUGUGGUGUGUGCAAGGCAAACUUAUGUCAUUGUUGCGAACAUCAUUGUACCCAUGGCUGUUAAAUGUGCCAUUUGUUUGGCAUGAAUGAAAUACUCCUAUGUUAUGACUUAUUCUAUGUCUGACAUUGAAUGUGAGCUUCUAUAUA